GCACGCCGGAAGUGGCGGCUGGAGCGGGAGAGCUGAGGUGUCGGCCGGCGGGGCUGCGGCCGGGAGCGGGGGGGCGGGUGCGUUGGUCAUGUUUACCUUCGGGCCCGGUAGUCCCGAAGGGGAUGGGACGGCCGGAACGGGGGAUGAGGAGCCGGCACCGCGUGCGGGGCAGGUGGCAGCCACCGGGCCGCUCCCCUCCCCGCCCGCGCCGCCGCAGCCCGGGGCUGACGCAGCCCCUCCCCCGUCGCCCUCCCGGAGCCCUCGCCGCCCCGGAGCACCCUCGCUGCCCCUGCCCGCGCGCGCUGGGGAGCUCGGGCCGCCUGGAACUCUAGACUCCUCAGCUGCUUCCGCCCAGGAAGAGCUGUCACCAACCUCCCCGCCGCGCCGGCGAUCCGGGCCAGACUGCAGGGCCGGGAGCCGGGGCCGCCACGGCAUCGGCGCCGGCGUUGGUGGCCCCGGAGCCCGGCUGUUCGGGUGGCUGAGAGAGCGCAGCCUGGGCCGCGGACUGUUCGUGGACCCGGCGCGGGACAAUUUCCGCACCAUGACUAACCUCUAUGGUUCCAUCCAUCCCGCGGACUCGGUGUACCUCAGCACCCGCACCCACGGCGCGGUCUUCAACCUCGAGUACUCGCCCGACGGGUCGGUGCUGACUGUUGCUUGUGAACAGACUGAAGUUCUGCUUUUUGACCCUAUAUCUUCAAAGCACAUAAAAACACUUUCUGAAGCUCAUGAAGACUGUGUAAAUAAUAUCAGAUUUCUUGAUAACCGGCUGUUUGCUACCUGCUCUGAUGACACUACAAUAGCACUAUGGGAUCUGAGAAAACUGAACACCAAAGUAUGCACUUUACAUGGUCACACUAGCUGGGUGAAGAACAUCGAAUAUGAUACUAAUACAAGACUCUUAGUAACAUCAGGAUUUGAUGGAAAUGUCAUUAUUUGGGACACCAACAGGUGUACAGAAGAUGGGUGUCCACAUAAGAAAUUCUUUCACACACGUUUUCUCAUGCGAAUGAGAUUAACACCAGAUUGUUCCAAAAUGUUGAUCUCAACGUCCUCUGGAUAUCUCUUGAUUUUGCAUGAUCUUGACUUAACCAAGUCUUUAGAAGUAGGCAGCUAUCCCAUUUUGAGAGCAAGAAGAACUACAUCAAGUUCAGAUCUGACUACUUCAUCAAGUUCAUCUGGUCCUCGAGUUUCUAGUUCACCUUGUCAUCAUAGUGAUUCUAAUUCAUCUUCUGAGAAACACAUGUCACGAGCCUCACAAAGAGAAGGAGUUUCACCACGAAAUAGUCUUGAAGUCUUAACCCCUGAAGUUCCUGGUGAGAGAGACCGUGGAAACUGCAUCACGUCCUUACAGCUGCACCCAAAGGGCUGGGCCACUCUCCUUCGGUGCUCAAGCAACACUGAUGAUCAGGAGUGGACUUGUGUCUAUGAAUUCCAAGAAGGAGCUCCCGUGCGACCUGUCUCACCUCGCUGUUCUCUACGACUAACUCAUUACAUUGAAGAGGCCAAUGUAGGCAGGGGUUAUAUCAAAGAACUUUGCUUCAGCCCUGAUGGGCGAAUGGUCUCUUCCCCACAUGGCUACGGGAUUCGCUUGUUGGGAUUUGACAAACAGUGCAGUGAACUUAUAGACUGUUUGCCCAAAGAAGCCAGUCCCCUGCGGGUGAUCCGUUCUCUGUACUCUCAUAAUGACGUGGUACUGACGACGAAGUUCUCUCCAACACAUUGUCAGAUUGCCUCAGGGUGCCUUAGCGGACGGGUUUCUUUGUAUCAGCCAAAGUUUUAGGCACAACUUACAUCAAAUAAGAACUCUUCUGGUGUUUGACUCAUAAAUUACUUCAAUUUAGGUGAAGUAUUUCCUUUUUAGAAGAUCUUAAAAGUUUGGGUCAAGAUCCCGGUUAUUAUGGGUCCACGAACACACCUGUGACCUGAGGACUUGGCUGUCCGGUAUCGUAGGGGCCUCGCCAAGUUAGACUCUACGCAGCAGCAGCUUUUGCCGCAUUCCUCUGCUCCUGUGCCACCUAAACUUCAGUUCUUCUGGUUAUUUUGCAUGGACCUACCAGACAGCCAUUCACACACGUGUGCAGAGGUUACAUACAUCUCCCUUGGAACAAUCUUGGCUCUAGGACAAAUUUUAACAAUUAUAUCAUUUUACCAUGGAUGUUAAAAAGAAUUUGAAAUUUUUUAGCCAUCAAGAAAAUUACUACAAAGUAUAAUGUAAACAUUGGUUUGCCAUAAAUAUUUUUAAACGCCCACAUAUGUAAAGGAAAAUAAAGUUUUGGAGGCAAAAGUACCCAAUCUUAACAUUCAAAACAAGCUACUGAGUACAGUGCUUCUAUUGAUGAAACAAAGAUUCCAUAUAUUGCAACCCCUCUGGAGAGUUGAAUGUCGGAUGCUAGACCCACGUGUUGCCCAACUCAGUUUCAGUCCAUGAUUCUUCAACCAUUAUAGUUUCCUGUCAGUCUACACACUUUACUACUAACCCUCACUAACAAAUUACCAUGCAAGGUAGGUGACAUGAGCACCAAAUUACUUUGGAAGAAAUGGAGGGUCUGAAAGGUUGAGUCAGAGCUGGCACUGGGCUGCGGGGGGCGGAGAGCAACACUG